rnacentral:rRNA from 1 species
UACCAGCACCCCGGGUGGUCGGGACGAUUAUUGGGCCUAAAGCAUCCGUAGCCGGUUUUACAAGUCCUCCGUUAAAUCCAGCUGCUUAACAGAUGGGCUGCGGAGGAUACUAUAAGACUAGGAGGCAGGAGAGGCAAGCGGUACUCAGUGGGUAGGGGUAAAAUCCGUUGAUCCAUUGAAGACCACCAGUGGCGAAGGCGGCUUGCCAGAAUGCGCUCGACGGUGAGGGAUGAAAGCUGGGGGAGCAAACCGG